AAGUCGUAACAAGGUUUCCGUAGGUGAACCUGCGGAAGGAUCAUUAACGAGUUUUUAAAGGGGGGCCUGAGCUGGCUUGAUAAAUAAGAGAUGGUGGCUAGCAAGUUUGUUGAAUAUCACAAACUGUUAGUCACGCGCGACAUACAGUAUAAUACGAUUUUCGUGUGGUUCCAUUGAGCAUAUGGUGGCUUUUGCAUUUAUCGAUAUGCAUAAGCGGACGUGCAAUAUUAUAAACACAAGUAAUCGCGCGCGGGACAAUAGUAAUGAAUAUCUCAUAAAAAGGCAUGUGCUCAGCCUCGCUCUAAUCCACUUAACCCCCUGUGCACUGUUCGGAGUGUUGCAAGCUGAGACUUGAUUAGAUCUUGGUCGCGUUUCUAAUGCGGCUGGGUUCUAAGAUAGUCAAGGCUUGUCCUCCGGUCCAUAUACAAACUCUUAUAAUGUCUUGUAGAAUGUGUUAGCCUCUCGUUAGGCGAAACUUAAAUACAA
rnacentral:misc_RNA from 1 species